rnacentral:rRNA from 1 species
GUCGAGAGGCUUUGGCAAUGGGGGAAACCCUGACCAAGCGACGCCGCGUGGAGGAUGAAGGCCCCUGGGUUGUAAACUCCUUUUGCUGGGGAAGAAACGCGAUCAGGUGAACAAUCUGGUCGUUUGACGGUACCCGGCGAAUAAGCUCCGGCUAACUCCGUGCCAGCAGCCGCGGUAACACGGGGGGAGCAAGCGUUGUUCGGAAUCACUGGGCGUAAAGGGCGUGUAGGCGGUCGAGUAAGUGGGAUGUGAAAUGCCUCGGCUCACCCGGGGACCUGCAUCCCAAACUGCUUGGCUUGAGUAUGGGAGAGGAUGAGGGAAUUCCUGGUGUAGCGGUGAAAUGCGUAGAUAUCAGGAGGAACACCGGUGGCGAAAGCGCUCAUCUGGCCCAAUACUGACGCUGAGGCGCGAAAGCUAGGGGAGCAAACGGGAUUAGAAACCCGGGUAGUCC